ACACUUAAGACAUCCUAGAUAUAUGCCAUUACCAAUAAUUAACAUGCUUUACCUUUUUGAGCUUCAGGAUCGACUUAUGAUGCUAAUUCGACGACCUGUCUUUAACCUAACCUGUGCACGAAAACAAACCGUACGCUGAGUAUGAAUUCAGUGAUAUUUCUAUAAACCGAUACUUAAGUCAAUAAUAAAUCAUAUAUCAAUGAACCUUGAGAAUUCAAUCUAUUACUCCUAAUAGUUCAAUCAUUUGUUUUUGAUAUAUAAUGCUAAGAUCAUGUUAAUCACUUUCGAUGAAAUGUAUACAGUUUCAAUGUUUAUUCAUUAUCCGUCGAUUUUUCAUAUUUAUUCAGUAAUAACCUGUGAUUAGUAUCAUUCAGACAUUCAGUAGCAGUCCAUUAUUCAGUAACAAUUAGUUUUUCAGUACUUUUAUUUACAAUUCAUUUGAGUAAUAAUAUUAUUCAGCUUUCAUUCAAUAUUCUGUACCAUCUCAUUUCAAUAACAGUCAAUAUUCAAUAGCAGACAGACUUUAAUACUUUUCAUUACCCCUAUUAACAUGACUCGGACCUAGACGGAUACACGGAUCCAACUCACACACCGAGGAUAGUAUACAGUGUUUCAUCAGCCGAAGCCAAAAUACACCGUAAGGGUAGCAAUAACAGUAACAGUAACAGUAGCGGUACACAAAGUACCUCAUCAGAACAAAUUUGGAACAGUAACAGUAACAGUCAAAUACGGAGUACCUCUUCGGAACGAAUCCGGAACAGUCAUAGUAGUCGACAUAUAUAGUGUCUCAUCGACACACAGUCAGAAUAUCCCUGAACACUUCCAAUCCUAUGACAUGCCAACUAUAUCCGACUAGCCUGAUACAAUUAAUAGGGUAUUCAAUAAACUUUCAAAUUUUCAAUUUUAUUUGUAAUUUAAUUUCAAUUCAAUUUAAUACAUUUUUCCAUAUCAAUCCACAUGCAAAUCAAUUUCAAUGCAAUAUACAUUUUUCAGUUUUCCACUCAAUAUUCACAUAUUCUAUUCAAUAUCAAUAAUCACUAAUAAUUCAUAAAUUUUUUAUUCAAUUCAAUAUCAUAAUAAUAAUACUUACCAUUCAUAUAAAUAAUAAAUUCAACAAAUAAUUAUUAGAUUUGGUUUAUAAAAAUACAAACCGUAGUUUUCAAGCUAACUCCUGUUGUCUUUGUCUUGUCCUUACUUAGUCGAGAUUUCCCGAGAUAACGUUAGCUACGAAAAUUAAAAUAAUUAUACCAUUAACUUUCAGCACUCAUUAUAACAAUUAAUUGAAUUUCUAUUCAAUUUACACCUUAUUUCCAAUUUAGGUCCUAACUAAUUCAUUCACUUUACUAACUUAAUUCAUUCUCCAUUUCUAUUCAAAUUCCAUCCAAACUCAAAUUUAAUUAUUAAAUUUUCACCUUAUCUCAUUAAUUUCGAAAUUUCCUCAAAUUAACCCCUACAACAUAAAACUUAUGAAUUACUUAACAAUUCAAUCCUUAUUUCAUUUCUAACUUGAAUUUCUAUCAAUUUAGCCCUUAAUUCAUCAUUUUAUUUAACAUAAACAAUAUUUAGAAAUCUAAUAAUUUUAAAAAUCUUAAUUUAAUUUCAUCAAAACUUUGUUCCAAAGCUUCUAAAACAUUAAAAUUAAGUAAAAAUGGCUAAAUUGACUUACCUAUUAAACUUCCAAGCUUCAAAAUCCCUAUUUUCCAUUUUUUCCUUUCUUUUUCUCCUUCCUUUCUUCUCUAUUUCUUUCUAUUCUUUUUCUUUUUCUUUUACUUUGUUCUAUUUUAUAUAUAAUAAUAAUAAUAAUAACUUACAUAAUAAGUAAAUAUACAUGUAUUUUACAAAUGUAGAUAUACUAAUAUUACACAUGUCACUAUACAUACCAUACAUUUGUCAACUUUUUAUUUAUUUUUCACAUAAAAAUCUUAUAAUAUAAUUAUUUAAUUAAUAAAUAUAUUUUAUAAAUAAUAAAUAUAUAUUAAUACUUAAAUACAAGCAUUACAAGUGUAUGUAUUUUUAUUAAUACACUUGUACCCAAUCAUUACCACACAUUUGUCUUACUUUUAUUUAUUUAUCAUAUAAUAUCAAUUUAAUAAUAAUAAAUACAUUAAUAUUUACUUAAAUAAUAAGCAAAUACAUACAUAUAUUACAAAUGUGUGUAUUAUAUUUAUUACACUUGUAGACACUUGGCACUCUUUUUGGCUUAUUUACUCAUUUAGUCCCUUCAAUUUUUUUAUUCUAUAAUUAAACUUUCACACUAUAUUCAAUUUAAUCCUUUUAUCCAAUUAUCCUUAAUUUAAGCUAAUUCACUUAAUUAAACUCUAAUUAAUCACUCAAUUAACUUCGUAAAUAUUUAUUACGAAUCCAUUUUUUAGAAACGGAGACCUGAAAAUAUACUUUUCCGGUAACGGUAAAAUUCAGGUCAUUACAUCAUUGAUGUGAAGAUAGAAUUAAAUUGGGAGAUGGAAAAGGAAGAGAUGUACUGGGAGCAGAGGGCGAGAUCGAAUUAGCUUAGCUAAGGGGACAGAAAUACGGCUUUCUUCCAUAGUCAAGCGUCCCAAAGAUGCAGAAUAAAUCGUAUCCGAGGGAUGGAGGAUAAAGAAGGUAUUCUCAAAACGGAAAGAAGAAGAUAUGGAAAUCAUAAUAAGGAGCUACUUUAUGAAGCUAUUCGAAUCUAAAGGAGUUGGUAAUACAAAUCACCUACUCUUAGGUUUUCGCUGCAGUAUUUCUGACAGUAUGGAUCAAAUGCUGGCUAAAGAUUAUAAAGAGGAGGAAAUUUUUGAAGCAAUAAAUAGUAUAGGGUCGACAAAAGCUUCUAGACUUGAUGGAUUUUCUGCAAUCUUCAUUGAAAAAUUUUGGCAUAUUAUAGGGAGGGAGGUAAGUGAUUUUUGCUUGGAAGUUCUUAAUAAAGGAAAAUCUCUUGAUCUUUUAAACCAUACGAAUAUCGUGCUAAUCCUAAAGAAUCCCACCCAAAAAGCCCAUCAGAAUUUAGACCAAUUAGCAUUUGCUCCGUCUUUUAUAAAAUAAUUUCAAAAUCUAUAGCAAACAGACUACAGAAAGUACUUGAUUUUUGCAUCGAUCCAGCUUAAAGCGCCUUUGUAUCGGGUGGAUUAAUUACAAAUAAUGUUCUUCUUGCAUAUGAAAUUCUACAAUCUAUGAAGAAUAAAAGGAUGGGGAAAAAAGGUCUGAUGGCUCUUAAGAUUGAUAUGAGCAAAGCCUAUGAUCGGGUGGAAUGGAAUUUCUUGGAACAAAUGAUGGCUAAAAUGGGAUUUUAUGAGUCUUGAAUUUAGCUUAUUAUGAGAUGCAUCAGUACGGUUUCGUAUUCAAUCAUUUUGAAUGGAAAGUCAGGGGAAGUGUUUCGUCCAGAGAGAGGCCUACAUCAAGGGGACCCUUUGAGUCCUUUUCUGUUCCUUAUAUACAGUGAGGGACUGUCUACAUUAUUAAGACUUGCAAGCGAGGAAGGAAUGCUGAAAGGAAUAAAGGCGAGUAGACGAGGCCCUCAGAUUACUCGCCUUCUUUUUGUAGAUGAUUGCGUGCUGUUUGGGGAAGCAAAUGAAAAAGGUGCAAAAACUUUUGGAAAGAUCUUAAAAGAGUACGAAGCCUGUUCGGGACAAUCCAUUAAUUAUGGAAAGUCAACAGUUUUCUUUAGCUCAAACACAACUGAAAUGAUUUGUUUAGCUAUCUCAAAUAAAUUGAGGGUGAAACGAACGAAUAACACAGAAAAAUAUCUGGGCUUGCCAAAUAUGGUGGGAAAGAGGAAAAGGUUAGCAUUCCAACACCUUAAAGAUCGAAUUAAAGCAAAAAUUAACUGUAGGAGUUCUCAAUUACUAUUGCAAGGGGAAAAGAAGUUUUCAUUAAAUCUGUGCUACAAGCAAUUCCAGCAUAUACAAUGGGAUGUUUUUUAUUACCGAAGUCAGUAUGCGUUGAUAUGGAACAAAUUAUAGCCAAGCAUUGGUGGUAAAAAGGGUUCGGGAGAAGGGGGAUACAUUGGUAGUCAUGGAAUAACUUAUGUGAAUUAAAUGAAUUCAGUGGUCUUGGUUAUUGUAAUUUUGCAAAUUUUAAUUUAGCCCUCUUCGCUAAGCAAGGAUGGCGAUUAAUUGAAAACCCCAAUUCUCUUUUAGCACAGAUGUUAAAGGCCAAAUAUUAUUUGAAUACUGAUUUUCUAAACUCAAAGCUAGGAAACUUACCUUCAUAUACUUGGAAAAUUAUAUGGGCUGCAAAAGGCCUUUUGCGGACUGGAUUAUGUUGGAGGGUGGGAAACGGCCGAAAUAUAAGUAUUGAAGAGGAUGUCUGGGCUCCGAAGGAUGAAAAUCUACAUAUUCAAAAAAUAGUAAGAAAUCAGAAUUUAUUGAAGGUAGCAGACCUAAUUGAUAGCAAUGCUAGAUCAUGGAAAACAGAGUUGAUUACAGAUACCUUUUCCGUAGAAGAUGCUCAGAGAAUACUCCAAAUCCCGCUUGCUCACUCCCGAUAGGACAACUUUAUGGCUUGGAGAGGCGAACCAACAGGCGAAUAUACAGUCCAAAGUGGGUACAGAUUACUCUUUCGAGGCAAUUCCAUCAAUAAUAAUAGAUACAAGCCAAAUGAAAACAGGAAAUGUUGCAAAAAAAUGUGGAAUAGUGACCUCCCCUCAAAAUUAAAAAUUAGAGCCUGGAGAGCCACUCUAAACUACCUUCCUACACUAUCAAAUCUACGCAUUAAAAGACUAGCUAAUGACGCCGUCUGCCCGAGAUGUCAGCAAGGUGUGGAGAAUAUGGAUCACGUCUUUCGAGAAUGCGCUACUUCAAGGGAAACAUGGAAUAGCUUAAAAUAUGACUGGCCUGAAAGAAUAGCAAAUCUGAAAUUUAUGGAAUGGUUUACUUGGAUCAUGCUAAGCAGCAGUACUGAUAUCUGUCGAUCAUUUCUAUGCACCAUUUGGGUUAUCUAGUCGGCUAGAAACAAAUGGAUUCACGAGGGUAAGAAAAUGUCAGGGACAGAGACGGCAAGAUUCAGCUUACAGUACUUACAAGAACUAAAUAACAUUAAAUGGGAAAAACUUGCCUUUAGCCCGAUAAGUGCAGAAUGGAGGCCUCCGAUUCAAGGUAUCUACAAAAUCAAUUUCGAUGCAGCAGUGGACCUUAAAACACAAAGGUCAUGUUCGGGACUCAUAGUCAGAGACUGGAAAGGGAAAAUCCUAGCCACAAAAACCAUAAAUCAUGAGAAUAUACCUUCGAGGUUUGCAGCCGAGUCUGUUGCAUGUUUACAGGCAGUUAUCUUAGGAAGGGAUCUAGGAUUAAAGUUUGUUGACAUUGAAGGGGAUUUUUUGACAGUGAUAAAAAAAGCUCAAACUAAGAGCAUAGACAAGUCGGUAAUCGGCGUAGACAUUCAAGACAUUCAAGAAAUGUGCAAGAUUUUCUAUGAAAGUAAGUUCAUUUAUGUACGAAGAAAAGCAAACGAACAAGCGCAUGAUCCGGUAUCAAAAGGCUUAAAAAUGGUAGAAAAGACUUACAUUAUUCACAGACCAGUUGCUGAGGGCGUCACAGAGGUAGAAAUUGAUCGAGGAUGGGGGUGAAGAAUUCCAACAGGUGGAUGAUUUAGAGAAGGAACCCUAAUGAAUACCAGUCUUUUGUCCUUCUCCAAGAGCUGUAAAUGAAAAUGAAGAUAUUUUAAGAAGAUUUUUAGGAAAUAACAGCUCAUUAAUGUUGGGUUGUCUUUUCAUGUCUUUUAUUAUUUUUGUUUUGCAAAGAGUGGCAGGCCCUUCG
rnacentral:lncRNA from 1 species